rnacentral:rRNA from 1 species
AGAAUUGAUCUGGUUCAGAUUGAACGCUGGCGGCGUGCUUAACACAUGCAAGUCGCGCGUGAAAGGACUUCGGUCCGAGUAAAGCGGCGCACGGGUGAGUAACGCGUGGAUGAUCUACCCAUGAGUUGGGAAUAACGGCUGGAAACGGUCGCUAAUACCGAAUACGCUCCGAUUUCAUCUUCGGGGGAAAGGUGGCCUCUGCUUGCAAGCUACUGCUCAUGGAUGAGUCCGCGUCCCAUUAGCUAGUUGGUGGGGUAACGGCCCACCAAGGCGACGAUGGGUAGCCGGUCUGAGAGGAUGACCGGCCACACUGGGACUGGAACACGGCCCAGACUCCUACGGGAGGCAGCAGUGGGGAAUAUUGCGCAAUGGGCGAAAGCCUGACGCAGCGACGCCGCGUGAGGGAUGAAGGUCCUCGGAUCGUAAACCUCUGUCAGGAGGGAAGAACCGCCACGGUGCUAAUCAGCCGUGGUCUGACGGUACCUCCAAAGGAAGCACCGGCUAACUCCGUGCCAGCCGCGGC